rnacentral:rRNA from 1 species
AUGAGGAUACUCUGCUGGAACUGCCGCGGGAUUGGCGAUCCCGCGACAGUGCGUGAGCUCUGCGAUCUUGCGGAGGCUAGUGCGCCGUCGGUUCUUUGCAUCGUGGAGACUCAGAUUGCAAAAAAUCGAGUGGAAGGUUUGGCGGCUUCAUUAGGUUUUCGAAGUAGUUUUGCAGUAGCUAGUAGUGGGAGGAGUGGAGGUUUAUGUUUUUUC